rnacentral:rRNA from 1 species
AUUGAACGCUGGCGGCAGGCCUAACACAUGCAAGUCGAGCGGAAGAAGGGAGCUGGUUCCUGGAUUGAGCGGCGGAGGGGGGAGUAAUGCCUAGGAAUCGGCCUGGGAGUGGGGGAUAACGUCCGGAAACGGGCGCUAAUACUGCAUACGUCCUGCGGGGGAAAGCGGGGGAGGGUGGGACUCCAGGCUAUCAGAUGAGGCUAGGUCGGAUUAGCUAGUUGGUGGGGUAACGGCCUACCAAGGCGACGAUCCGUAACUGGUCUGAGAGGAUGAGCAGUCACACUGGAACUGAGACACGGUCCAGACUCCUACGGGAGGCAGCAGUGGGGAAUAUUGGACAAUGGGCGAAAGCCUGAUCCAGCCAUGCCGCGUGUGUGAAGAAGGUCUUCGGGUUGUAAAGCACUUUAAGUUGGGAUGAAGGGCAGUAAGUUAAUACCUUGCUUUUUUGACGUUACCAACAGAAUAAGCACCGGCUAACUUCGUG